UACUUGAAUCUAAUAUUUUGACUGAAAAGUAUUGUUAAUAAAUUAUAUGAUAAUUUGUUUAAUAACAGCACGUCAAAUAUUCUAAGCAAAACUCAAAUGGAAUUAUAAUAAUAUUAAUAAUAAUACCACCAUCGGGCUUGCACACUAAAGCAACACCAAGGUCCCCGGUGCAGGGGCAUCAAGUCAUCAUAAGGAAACAAAGUGCUCACACUAUGCAUAGAUUACCAGAAUGGAUUACAGUUUGAGAGCCUGAGCAUGGUGGCUGAUAUGAUCAUCGAUGAAAGUGGCAAUGAAAUAGAAGGAGUGAUCAUAACCAGGUUGCAUUCGCAACAGAAGUGGAACGUUAGCACUUCUGCAUGCCUCUUCAAACUUCUGAGGCAGCAGCUGAUCAUGCAAGAAUUUAUCCUCAUCUCCCUGAUCAAUUAAAAUUGUAGCAGAUACAUCAUGGAACUUUGAGAUCAGGGAAGUAGCAUCAUAUUCCUCCCAAUCAGCUUUAUUGCCACCAAGAUAAUUUGUGAAAGCUUUCUGGCCCCAGGGACAGUUUAUAGGAUUGGCAAUUGGUGCAAAGGCAGAAACUGACUUGUACUUAUCAAGGUUCUUCAAAUAUAUUGUUAAAGCACCAUGGCCGCCCAUUGAAUGACCAAAUAUAGAUGCCCUUGAUGUAUCAAGCUGCGGAAAAUUGUCACUGAGAAGUUUAGGCAAUUCCUUAACAACAUAGUCAUACAUACGCCAGUUUUUCCACUUCUCCUGAGUAGCAUUAAGAUAAAAUCCAGCACCUACACCGAAAUCCCAGCUGUCUGCCUCUCCUUCCACAUUCAGGCCUCUUGGAGAUGUAUCAGGGGCAAUUAAUGCAACACCCUCAGUUGAGGCAGCACGUUGAGCUCCCGACUUAAUUACAAAGUUCUCAUCAGUGCAGGUAAGGCCUGAGAGCCAAUAAAGGACCUACUCAACCAUUAAAGCAAUAUCAUUUGGAUAGUACAUACACUGCAUUGCACAAAAAUCAUAAUCAUGCAUAAAGCAAAUUAAUCAAUAGGUAAACUAUAAAAUGACAAUGAGAGGGCUAUAGUUUUAUCUAGUCUAAUGCUAAGAUACUCCAUGUUUACCUGUGAAAUGAUCAAAUUCAAUUAUGCAGAGAAUGAAAACAUUUUAUAGCAAAUGAGCAAUAAGAUCACCACUAAUUUGGAUUAUAUUUUGGACAAACAAUCAUGAGUCUGCUAAUUGAUCAUUUUAAAAAAAAAAUCUGGAAUCAUAAUCUCAUUUCAUCAUUACUCACCAACCUACCAACGAACCCAACAACCAACCACAAACCCAACAACCAACUACAAAGACAAUCAUUUUUCUCGUGUACAUUCCAUCAAUAAACCCCUGAGAAAAAUCAUGAAUUGUAAGAGAAUCCCACCUCAUUGACA
rnacentral:misc_RNA from 1 species